CCAGCUCUGAUCCUGACUGAUCUUUCCUCACUAAAUCCUCUGGUUUUUAAUUAACUUCUCCUCUAACAGCGGUUUCUCAUCAGCUCUCUCAUUAGAUAACAGUAUGAAAACGUUAGCUGCUAUGCUAACAAUUAGCGGUUAUUUCGGGCCAAUUAAGCUACAUAGGAAAUAUUUUUCGGUUGUUUAUAAGCAAAUUUCUGGCUGCAAAGUCAAGUAAUUCUGAUCUUUCAUCCUUACCUGUGAAAGGCAAUGCCAAUGAAUCCAGUUUUUUUCGUAAAACGGUUGCAACAGGUCCACACAGCACAGGACUUAAGAGCUCCGAUCGCCCUGCUGCCACAUAGAAGAUGGCGGACGCUGUUACGUACGACUCAGCGCUCCAUGAGGGGUCUACGUAUAUGAUGUCUAUGAUGUAAAGGAAUAGCCUUUUUGUCCUCCAGCAAUGUAGGCAUGUGCGAAAUUUCCUUAUGUAAACAAUAACAUGCAGGGGGUCUAGAUUAUCGAUC